rnacentral:rRNA from 1 species
UUGACAUCCAGAGAAUUUAGCAGAGAUGCUUUAGUGCCUUCGGGAACUCUGAGACAGGUGCUGCAUGGCUGUCGUCAGCUCGUGUUGUGAAAUGUUGGGUUAAGUCCGCAACGAGCGCAACCCUUAUCCUUUGUUGCCAGCACGUAAUGGUGGGAACUCAAAGGAGACUGCCGGUGAUAAACCGGAGGAAGGUGGGGAUGACGUCAAGUCAUCAUGGCCCUUACGAGUAGGGCUACACACGUGCUACAAUGGCGCAUACAAAGAGAAGCGACCUCGCGAGAGCAAGCGGACCUCAUAAAGUGCGUCGUAGUCCGGAUUGGAGUCUGCAACUCGACUCCAUGAAGUCGGAAUCGCUAGUAAUCGUAAAUCAGAAUGUUACGGUGAAUACGUUCCCGGGCCUUGUACACACCGCCCGUCACACCAUGGGAGUGGGUUGCAAAAGAAGUAGAUAGCUUAACCUUCGGGAGGGCGUUUACCACUUUGUGAUUCACGACUGGGGUGAAGUCGUAACAAGGUAGGCGUAGUGCU